AGAGUUUGAUCCUGGCUCAGAGCGAACGCUGGCGGCAGGCCUAAUACAUGCAAGUCGAACGCACCUUCGGGUGAGUGGCGGACGGGUGAGUAACACGUGGGAACGUGCCUUUUGGUUCGGAAUAAUCCGGGGAAACCUGGCCUAAUACCGGAUGUGCCCUUCGGGGGAAAGAUUUAUCGCCAUUAGAGCGGCCCGCGUCUGAUUAGCUAGUUGGUGGGGUAAAGGCCCACCAAGGCUACGAUCAGUAGCUGGUCUGAGAGGAUGAUCAGCCACACUGGGACUGAGACACGGCCCAGACUCCUACGGGAGGCAGCAGUAGGGAAUCUUGCGCAAUGGGGGAAACCCUGACGCAGCCAUGCCGCGUGAAUGAUGAAGGUCUUAGGAUUGUAAAAUUCUUCAGCGGG
rnacentral:rRNA from 1 species